UUAUANUUAGCUCAAUUGGUAGAGUAUUUCGUUUACACCGAAAAUGUUAGCGGUUCGAGUCCGUUAUUAUUUAAU
rnacentral:tRNA from 1 species